GUCUUGUAAAAGCAGCCACAGGUUGAAAAGUGCUUUAGGUCGAGCAGGAUUCUGCAUGAUUAGGUUCUUCCAAGGUACUCUAGGAGCCUCUCCAAUCUGUUGAAGAUAGAGCAUUCUGAUAGAACAGUCAGGUUUAUGUAACAGUUGAUAUUGUUGCAGCAGAACAAUGCCUUCAAUGAUCUUCCGAACCAUCCAACUAGCUUGUUUAGGUACAUUGAUGGUCUCCAACUGUUGUUGUUUGAUAUAAACUGUAUGAAUCCACUUCACUCAUAGGACAUCCUUCUUGUGUGCCAAAUCCCAGCUUAGUUUUGCAACAGCAGCCUUGUUCCAUAGUAGGAGAUUAGUCAAGUUUAAGCCUCCAGCAGACUUUGGCAGACAGAGUUUUUCCCAAGCCACAUAGGCUUUCCUAGUUACAUUAACUGAGCCAGACCAUAUGUAGGAUCUACAUAUUGCU
rnacentral:lncRNA from 1 species